CCUUGUGUGCGACCACAAGUAGCCUACGGUGACAUGCAAAUCCAGUAAUGGACUUGUGUGAAGCUCGCCCGACAACGUACUCCCGCUAACGCGGUACCCCUCAUCCGCAAGGAUAGGGGUAGAUGCUGCCAGCAGAAAUGGCGGUUGAGAGG
rfam:Comamonas testosteroni KF-1 ctg14069, whole genome shotgun sequence.